CCCUUAGAUGUUCUGGGCCGCACACGCGCUACACUGGCAGGUUCAUCGAGCUUCAUGCCCUGAUCUGAGAAGAACGGGAAAUCUUUGAACACCUGCCGUGCUUGGGAUAGAUGUUUGCAAUUAUUCAUCUUCAACGAGGAUUGCCUUGUAAGCGCACGUCAUCAGCGUGCACUGAAUACGACCCUGUAUUCUGUACACACCGCCCGUCGCUCCUACCGAUUGAAGUUUUCGGUGAAUUUACUGGAGAUCCCUUUUGAAGGUGGUUCGCCACUGGAAGAAGUAUUCAAAAGUAAAUGAAUCGAAUGCUUUAGAGGAAGGAGAAGUCGUAACA
rnacentral:rRNA from 1 species